rnacentral:rRNA from 1 species
GAUGAACGCUGGCGGCGUGCCUAAUACAUGCAAGUCGAGCGAACGGACGAGAAGCUUGCUUCUCUGAUGUUAGCGGCGGACGGGUGAGUAACACGUGGAUAACCUACCUAUAAGACUGGGAUAACUUCGGGAAACCGGAGCUAAUACCGGAUAAUAUUUUGAACCGCAUGGUUCAAAAGUGAAAGACGGUCUUGCUGUCACUUAUAGAUGGAUCCGCGCUGCAUUAGCUAGUUGGUAAGGUAACGGCUUACCAAGGCAACGAUGCAUAGCCGACCUGAGAGGGUGAUCGGCCACACUGGAACUGAGACACGGUCCAGGCUCCUACGGGAGGCAGCAGUAGGGAAUCUUCCGCAAUGGGCGAAAGCCUGACGGAGCAACGCCGCGUGAGUGAUGAAGGUCUUCGGAUCGUAAAACUCUGUUAUUAGGGAAGAACAUAUGUGUAAGUAACUGUGCACAUCUUGACGGUACCUAACCAGAAAGCCACGGCUAACUACGUG